rnacentral:tRNA from 1 species
GCCUUUGUGGUGUAAUGGUCAGCACGCUCGACGCGUAUUCGAGAGGUCUGAGGUUCGAGUCCUGGAGAGGGCA